rnacentral:rRNA from 1 species
UGGGGAAUUUUGGACAAUGGGCGAAAGCCUGAUCCAGCAAUGCCGCGUGUGUGAAGAAGGCCUUCGGGUUGUAAAGCACUUUUGUCCGGAAAGAAAACGCCGUGGUUAAUACCCGUGGCGGAUGACGGUACCGGAAGAAUAAGCACCGGCUAACUACGUGCCAGCAGCCGCGGUAAUACGUAGGGUGCAAGCGUUAAUCGGAAUUACUGGGCGUAAAGCGUGCGCAGGCGGUCCGCUAAGACAGAUGUGAAAUCCCCGGGCUUAACCUGGGAACUGCAUUUGUGACUGGCGGGCUAGAGUAUGGCAGAGGGGGGUAGAAUUCCACGUGUAGCAGUGAAAUGCGUAGAGAUGUGGUGGAAUACCGAUGGCGAAGGCAGCCCCCUGGGCCAAUACUGACGCUCAUGCACGAAAGCGUGGGGAGCAAACAGG